AAUCUUGUUCUCCAGAUGGAAUAAAGGUGGAAUAUUUUGAGUGCCACCAUCCGUCAGUGUAGGGCAGGGAGGAAUCCUCUCUGUGACAUCUCUUCCAUGUGUUAGUACAACUCUGGACAUUUUUGUGCUGACAUGCUCAGUAUCUCAUUUCAGUAACUGAGAUGAAAUUCAAGUAGAGGGGAAGGAGCAGCCAUGUGUGUGUCUAUGGGCCAGCAGGGAAGUCUAAAAAGGAUGGUAAAACUCUCCAGUCUAUCUGGUGUUGCUGAGCAUUCUUUGAACUUAGUAGUAACUCCACACAGCAUUUAUGGACAGACAAAAAUGCUCCCGAACCAACUCUGUGCCUUAGGAGGCAGGAGAUUCAUUGCAUGCAAAAUGGUUCCAAUGACUGAGACAGAGAAGGGAGAUGAGUUUUGUCAGAGAGAAGAUUUGAGGAAGAAAGAAAUUUGUGCAUGGAAUCUUAGCAAUGAAGUAGUUUUCCUCACUAAACAGCCAGUGGCACUUCAGGAUAAGAUUUCUACCUAGGAGAGGAAUGGGCAUUCUCAGCCUUCAAGAGCAGGAACCAGGCCUGUAUUUGGACCAGGGCAGAUGCAAGUUGGU